CAGUGACUCAGAGAUGAUUUCCUCUUCAGAAAACAGAAGAAUUUUCUGACACAUUUAUCCAGAUUGGAUGAUAUGGAGAUGAACACCAGGACUAUUUUAGAAACUGCAUGUUGAAGACCACUGAGAUAUAAAACUUAGAAAAAAAAAGGUUCUGAAUCAAUGCCUUGUGAAGACAGUUGCACAGGGUACCACCAGGCUGAAAUCCAGGUGUUCACCAGGACUUUUCUUCACCUGGAGGCCCAGCUGGAGAAGAAUCUGCUUCCAAGCUCCAUCAGACUGUUAGAAAAUUAACUUCCUGUGGCUAUAGGAUUCAUGGCACGUUGCUUCUUCAAAGCCAGCAAUGGAAAGAGUCUUCUGCUCCAAGAAUGACAUGUAGUCACUCAGAAAGGGAUCAUAUGACUAGGUAAUGUCCACCCAGAAUAAUAUCGCUUUUGAUUAAGUUAAAGUCAAUCGAU